CCUACGGGGGGCAGCAGUGAGGAAUAUUGGUCAAUGGCCGAGAGGCUGAACCAGCCAAGUCGCGUGAGGGAAGACGGCCCUACGGGUUGUAAACCUCUUUUGUCGGGGAGCAAAGCGCACCACGUGUGGUUCCUUGCGAGUACCCGACGAACAAGCAUCGGCUAACUCCGUGCCAGCAGCCGCGGUAAUACGGAGGGGGCAAGCGUUAUCCGGAUUUACUGGGUGUAAAGGGAGCGUAGACGGGAGGGCAAGUCUGAAGGGAAAGGCAAGGGCUCAACCUUUGGACUGCUUUGGAAACGGUGCUGCUGGAGUGUCGGAGAGGGAAGUGGAAUUCCUAGUGUAGCGGUGAAAUGCGUAGAUAUUAGGAGGAACACCAGUGGCGAAGGCGGCGUGCUGGACGAUGACUGACGUUGAGGCUCGAAAGCGUGGGGAGCAAACAGGAUUAGAUACCCUUGUAGUC
rnacentral:rRNA from 1 species